rnacentral:rRNA from 1 species
GAGACAGCAGUCGCCGCGGUAAUACCGAGGGUGCAAGCGUUAAUCGGAAUUACUGGGCGUAAAGCGCGCGUAGGUGGUUUGUUAAGUUGGAUGUGAAAGCCCCGGGCUCAACCUGGGAACUGCAUCCAAAACUGGCAAGCUAGAGUACGGUAGAGGGUGGUGGAAUUUCCUGUGUAGCGGUGAAAUGCGUAGAUAUAGGAAGGAACACCAGUGGCGAAGGCGACCACCUGGACUGAUACUGACACUGAGGUGCGAAAGCGUGGGGAGCAAACAGGAUUAGAUACCCCCGUAGUCCCUGUCUCUUAUAA